CCUUGCCAGCCCGCUCAGAAACUCAAAGGAAUUGACGGGGGCCCGCACAAGCGGUGGAGUAUGUGGUUUAAUUCGAUGCAACGCGAAGAACCUUACCUGGUCUUGACAUCCCGGAGACCCUUAGGAAACUAGGGGGUGCUUCCAUCUGGAAGAAUCUGGAGACAGGUGCUGCAUGGCUGUCGUCAGCUCGUGUCGUGAGAUGUUGGGUUAAGUCCCGCAACGAGCGCAACCCUUGCCUUUAGUUGCCAGCAGUUCGGCUGGGCACUCUAAAGGGACUGCCGGUGUUAAACCGGAGGAAGGUGGGGAUGACGUCAAGUCCUCAUGGCCUUUAUGACCAGGGCUACACACGUACUACAAUGGCCGAUACAAAGGGCAGCGACACUGCGAGGUGAAGCCAAUCCCGUAAAAUCGGUCUCAGUCCGGAUUGGAGUCUGCAACUCGACUCCAUGAAGUUGGAAUCGCUAGUAAUCGUGGAUCAGCAUGCCACGGUGAAUACGUUCCCGGGCCUU
rnacentral:rRNA from 1 species